rnacentral:rRNA from 1 species
UGGGGAAUAUUGGACAAUGGGCGCAAGCCUGAUCCAGCAAUGCCGCGUGUGUGAAGAAGGCCUUCGGGUUGUAAAGCACUUUUAUCAGGAGCGAAACGCUGUCGGCUAAUACCCGGCGGAACUGACGGUACCUGAGGAAUAAGCACCGGCUAACUUCGUGCCAGCAGCCGCGGUAAUACGAAGGGUGCAAGCGUUAAUCGGAAUUACUGGGCGUAAAGCGUGCGUAGGCGGUUUCUUAAGUCUGCUGUGAAAUCCCCGGGCUCAACCUGGGAAUGGCAGUGGAUACUGGGAGGCUAGAGUGUGUCAGAGUGUGGUGGAAUUCCCGGUGUAGCGGUGAAAUGCGUAGAGAUCGGGAGGAACAUCAGUGGCGAAGGCGGCCACCUGGGACAACACUGACGCUGAGGCACGAAAGCGUGGGGAGCAAACAGGAUUAGAUACCCUGGUAGUCCACGCCCUAAACGAUGCGAACUGGAUGUUGGUCUCAACUCGGAGAUCAGUGUCGAAGCUAACGCGUUAAGUUCGCCGCCUGGGGAGUACGGUCGCAAGACUGAAACUCAAAUGAAUUGACGGGGUCAUAGCUGUUUCCUG